ACGGGAGGCAGCAGUGGGGGAUAUUGCACAAUGGGGGAAACCCUGAUGCAGCGACGCCGCGUGAGUGAUGAAGUAUUUCGGUAUGUAGAGCUCUAUCAGCAGGGAAGAAAAUGACGGUACCUGACUAAGAAGCUCCGGCUAAAUACGUGCCAGCAGCCGCGGUAAUACGUAUGGAGCAAGCGUUAUCCGGAUUUACUGGGUGUAAAGGGAGCGUAGACGGUGACGCAAGUCUGAAGUGAAAGGUGUGGGCUCAACCCGCAAACUGCUUUGGAAACUGUGUGACUAGAGUGUCGGAGAGGUAAGUGGAAUUCCUAGUGUAGCGGUGAAAUGCGUAGAUAUUAGGAGGAACACCAGUGGCGAAGGCGGCUUACUGGACGAUAACUGACGUUGAGGCUCGAAAGCGUGGGGAGCAAACAGGAUUAGAUACCCUGGUA
rnacentral:rRNA from 1 species